ACUCCUACGGGAGGCAGCAGUGGGGAAUUUUACGCAAUGGGGGAAACCCUGACGUAGCGACACCGCGUGAGCGAAGAAGCCCUUUGGGGUGUAAAGCUCUGUCAGCUGGAACGAAAACAAUGACGGUACCAGCAGAGGAAGCAUCGGCUAACUACGUGCCAGCAGCCGCGGUAAGACGUAGGAUGCGAGCGUUGUCCGGAUUUAUUGGGCGUAAAGAGUUCGUAGGUGGUUUGUUAAGUUUGGUGUUAAAGAUCGGGGCUCAACCCUGGGACUGCACUGAAUACUGGCAGACUCGAGUGUGGUAGAGGCUAGUGGAAUUCCCAGUGUAGCGGUGAAAUGCGUAGAUAUUGGGAAGAACACCGGUGGCGUAGGCGACUAGCUGGGCCAUAACUGACGCUGAGGAACGAAAGCCAGGGGAGCGAAUGGGAUUAGAUACCCUGGUAGGCGUAGU
rnacentral:rRNA from 1 species